rnacentral:rRNA from 1 species
UUAAGCAUAUCAAUAAGCGGAGGAAAAGAAACCAACAGGGAUUGCCCUAGUAACGGCGAGUGAAGCGGCAUCAGCUCAAAUUUGAAAUCUGGCUCUUUUAGGGUCCGAGUUGUAAUUUGCAGAGGGCGCUUUGGCAUAGGCAGCGAUUCAAGUCCCUUGGAACAGGGCGUCACAGAGGGUGAGAAUCCCGUACGUGGUCGCUAGCUCUUGCCGUGUAAAGCCCCUUCGACGAGUCGAGUUGUUUGGGAAUGCAGCUCUAAAUGGGAGGUAAAUUUCUUCUAAAGCUAAAUAUUGGCCAGAGACCGAUAGCGCACAAGUAGAGUGAUCGAAAGAUGAAAAGCACUUUGGAAAGAGAGUCAAAAAGCACGUGAAAUUGUUGAAAGGGAAGCGCUUGCAGCCAGACUUGCCUGUAGUUGCUCAUCCGGGCUCUUGCCCGGUGCACUCUUCUGUAGGCAGGCCAGCAUCAGUUUGGGCGGUUGGAUAAAGGUCUCUGUCAUGUACCUCUCUUCGGGGAGGCCUUAUAGGGGAGACGACAUACAACCAGCCUGGACUGAGGUCCGCGCAUUCGUGCUAGGAUGCUGGCGUAAUGGCUGUAAGCGGCCCGUCUUGAAACACGGACCAAGGAGUCUAACAUCUAUGCGAGUGUUUGGGUGUCAAGCCCGAGCGCGUAAUGAAAGUGAACGGAGGUGGGAACCCUUUUGGGUGCACCAUCGACCGAUCCUGAUGUCUUCGGAAGGAUUUGAGUAAGAGCAUGGCUGUUGGGACCCGAAAGAUGGUGAACUAUGCUUGAAUAGGGUGAAGCCAGAGGAAACUCUGGUGGAGGCUCGCAGCGGUUCUGACGUGCAAAUCCAUCGUCAAAUUUGGGCAUAGGGGCGAAAGACUAAUCGAACUAUCUAGUAGCUGGUUCCUGCCGAAGUU